UUAGCCCUGCGGCCCCACGCACCAGGGUAAGAGAGAGUCUCACUUCCUGCCCUGGCCCGAGGGACCGACUGGCUGGGC
ensembl:miRNA microRNA 874